AAUAACACUUCACCAUAAUAUUUCACUUGCCAAGGUGGUUUCCUUCCGCUUCGUUCAUAGUUUAAUUUUUGCUUCAUGACACAAGUGGUGAAUCAUGUUCUUGCUCCGUGAGGUUAAUAAGGGACAAGUGUUCAGCGUUCUGUUGUGUCAAGCAGUGAAAUACCAAACCCAGUGGUCGAAUUAAGUUAUAUCUCAAAGAGUUUUGGGAUAUGCAUUGUGCUGAUAAGGCCGUUACUGAAGAUUUAUGGACCUGUAGGGUGACGUAAUAGUUUAUCAAAUAUGACGCAAAGUGAUAGACGUAUUUUGCGACGUGAGUGAACGUACUUAUUUAUCGUCCUUUUUCCGACGUCCGUGUGACCAGAUCCUAAGAUAACACACCUGUCGUAGCCGUAAGAGCCAGGUCUCGAGCGGGGCUGGUCUGGCCGAGGGCGACGGAGGAAGGGCAAGGCUUCUGCACCACCAGAGGGGGUGUGUGGGAGGCGCUGAAGCUUUUCGAACUCACUGCUGCUACCCCUACCAAUUUUCAAUGACUUGGCAUUCCCUGAGUUCGUAGACAACAUCUUGAGCCUUCCCUGAAGAUGCCAGUGUUUUUGCGAUGUACUCCUGGUUCUUGGUAAAUAUGGCUUUAUCUCUCUCAUCCAUAUUGUCGCUUUUUUAUUUUCAAGUCUGUGGAUAAAAGAAAA